rnacentral:rRNA from 1 species
AUACGUAGGGUGCGAGCGUUAAUCGGAAUUACUGGGCGUAAAGCGUGCGCAGGCGGUUUUGUAAGACAGUGGUGAAAUCCCCGGGCUCAACCUGGGAACUGCCAUUGUGACUGCAAGGCUGGAGUGCGGCAAAGGGGGAUGGAAUUCCGCGUGUAGCAGUGAAAUGCGUAGAUAUGCGGAGGAACACCGAUGGCGAAGGCAAUCCCCUGGGCCUGCACUGACGCUCAUGCACGAAAGCGUGGGGAGCAAACAGGAUUAGAUACCCUGGUAGUCCACGCCCUAAACGAUGUCAACUGGUUGUUGGGAAUUUAUUUUCUCAGUAACGAAGCUAACGCGUGAAGUUGACCGCCUGGGGAGUACGGCCGCAAGGUUAAAACUCAAAUGAAUUGACGGGG